AGUCGGCAGUUAAAAGUUUAAAGUUUAGAAUAAUACGCGAUUUAGACAUACCUCUCUGGAUUUUGAAUUCGAGAAAAUAAGUUCGAAAUGUUUAAUUCGAAAUGGGUUUAAAUACGCAAUAGUAAAUAUUCGGGAGGUCGCAUCGUCGCGGUAUAAUUUUGUAGUUAUCGCUCUGUCUAUCGUGAAUUACAAUAGCGCCGAUUAUACGAAUUUGAAGAAAAAAGAAAAGCAACCGGAUGGAUCCACAGAACACGCAACUGAUAAUACAGAUGUGUCGUGCGUGCACGGAUUAAUAUGUCUAUGGUACGGAUCGUAGAAACUGAAUAAGCAUCGGCGCGCGCUUUAUUGGCGACGGCAGGUUAUAUUAGGUGUAAGAAAUGGCGCGAAACGGUCCAACUUCGUUUAGCCCCUUUGGAGCGCGCAUCUCUCGACGCUAAUCUCGUCUAGCUUUCGCAUUACUGUCAUAGCCUAUCUUUUCAACGUCCCUAUAACGCGUCAGUCUUCUGGCUUCAUUUCGAGUUCGCGCGGGCCGCCGAUCUCGCUCAAUCCUUUUAGGUAUAUAAACGCAAGUCCAUCAUUCGGUUAUUAUCACUGCACUCCACCGCGUGUGAAGUUCGGUGUUCCGAAAUAUAUAUUCUAAUUGUAAGACACGCAUUAACGUGCGAUUUCCCAGUUAUAAUACCGAAGCAAAUAAUACUGUACACAAGUGCGUAACGUCGAUUAGAAUUCAAUUUUCUAUUCUUCUUUUAUUCAAUUCUUUGACACCUUCUAUUUUGUUCUAAAAUUUCUUUCAUCAUUAUUUUCAAAAUUUACUUUUGUUCGGCCCGGAAAUCUUCGCACACAGCUUGCUUACGUUACUUCAAUAAUUUUAUUCGCGCACUUUUUUCUUCCGAAUAUAUUCUUUUCGUUAUUAAUAUUUAUGUUCAAUUAGUCACCAGGCUAGUUUGAGAUGCUCGCGUAAUGUUAAUAAUAUAACCGUGAGCUUCUUCUAGUGGUAUAUCACGACCGAAAAUAUUCGGCAUGAGCGACAACGCUUCAUAACCACGGCCUAAAACCAGCUUAAAAUCCUCGUCAAAAACUAUACUGGACCAUGAUCACUUUGUUCAAUUUUUUUUAUUCCUUUCGUUUUUCCUGAAAUCCGAUUUUUUCGUUUUUUUGUUUUUGCCUUUCACACGGCGUCACGUUCACUCGAAAUACCGACAAGAAUACUCGAGUGCGAUUACAGAACCGCGGGUAAAAGAAAGUAAAAUUUAAAUAAAAUAACUAUUCGAAAAUAUAAAAAAUAAGAAUUCUUAAAAAAUUUGCAGAUCAGCGGCACUUGCAAUUAAAUAUUAUACUCGUCGAAUUUGUACAGCAAAUAUUAUGUGUACAUACAUUAUAUAUAAUAUAUAUACAUAUUCAUGUAUGUACGUACGUACAUACACAUGUAUAUAUUUUGCAGAAGAUGAAAGCGUAAUAUGUGCGCACCUGUUCACGUAACGAGUUGUAUACUAUAUUAUAUUAAUAUACGUACAUUAUUUCGUUUCAUUUAUUUAUUUGUUUGUUUUAAUUUGCACGGAUACGCGAUAUAAUUUGUAAAAAAUAAUAAUACCGCGAGACAAUAAUGUGAUUGACAAAGUGAAGGAGAUUGAAAAGUGGAAUAACGAUAUCGACGGCGGGUUAACGGCGCUCGAAUCUGGGAAUUAUGGGUAAUUCGCACUGCUGCGCUAAACACAAAAAGAUGUCCGAGUUCCCAGUGGAGGGCGGUGAAAAUGGAGAUAUGCACUCCGUCAUUGAAAAUUUUCAGAAAAAGAGCAAUCUUAUUUCUGGAAGAACCGGACAUCACACCCACGUCUCUCAUUCCCAUCAUCCUCAAGUUACCACGUCGUCACAGAUGCUGACAAAUCAGAGUCAAACCAGCAGUACCUCGAGUAGAGUCGCUCAGCAGACCUCCCAGAGGAUUCUAACCUCCUCGUCGACGAGGGAGAUGAACGCUAGCAACGUCAAAGUUAAGGACGGACUGAACGAAUUGAAGAGAGGUAUUACGGAAAUGAAAAAUAUGUCAUCUAAUUUCUCACGCCUGAGGAGCAGCAUGGAAAACCUCGUCGACAGAGAUGGCAGCGGUCCGGAAGAAAAUCUCUCAGAACCUUUGGUGACGUUUCCGGAUCCAGAUACGCCCCCACCGGUAACUGGAACUGUCACCUUAACGGGGGGAUCGCCUUCGCAGCUAAAUUCAUUGAACUCUUUGAACAAUUUACACAACAUGAGCCCACCCAUGAGCAUGUCGAAUAUGCCGACGAUAACGAGUAUGUCGAGUAUACCGGCUGGACCAGAAACUAUGAAAUUCGAACAGAAGAAAAUGACCAGUGCUUCGAAAACUAAGGUUGUCACCGACGGAUUCAGUGCUGAAAAGGCAACUGCCAACAGCGCUGAGAUGAGGGCAUUACAAACCGGCGAUGUUUCUUAUAAAGAACAAAGCGCCGCAACGGCAGCUAGAGCACGAGUAGAACUCGAUGGUGUUUCUGCAGAAAAAAGCGUAGCUUUGGCGAGGGAGCAGCGCAGUCUGAAAGCUGGUGAUCUGUCCCACCAGGAAAGUAACAAUAUGUCUCAAUCUACUAUGAAGGUCCAGAGCGAUUCGUACAGUUCCGAAAAGAAAGCAAUGGCAGCCCAACAACAGAGACAAACGGUGACGUCGACAGGGAUUUUCAAUCACGAAAAACACAUGGCAGCGAGCUCUCAAUCCAGUGUGACGAUUGCCUCGAAAGGUGUGAGCUCCAAAGCGUCUAUGAUCUCCGCAACCUCUGCAGUAAACCAGCUCAUGAAUGGCAUGAGACCAGCGGAGGACGAACUUCUUUCUCUUCCACUUGACGAUCUGGAUCUCUUGUGUUCAAACUCAAAUCCACAGGACGUGGAACGGGCCAUUGCCAAGUACUCCACAUUUCUGGAUAGCCUGGUUCAAAGACUGAAGUCUAAUGAUGGCAAGAACCCCAAAGCGCCACUUUUACUCGAUAGGGUCAGUGAAAUCAUUAGAAAAGCUUGGGCCGUUCCAACACAUGGCCACGAACUAGGUUACGCCCUAUGCAACACUUUGAGGGGUCGUGGUGGCCUCGAUAUUCUUAUAUCGAAUUGUAUUGACGUGAAUAGCGAACUUCAGUUCUCUUCUGCCAGACUUUUGGAACAAUGUUUAACAAAUGACAACAGAGCCCAUGUCGUAGAACACGGUCUAGCGAACGUUGUAAGGGUUGCCUGUGUAUGCACAAAAAAUGCUAACUCUGUCGAUCACUCAAGGGUUGGUACUGGAAUACUUGAACAUCUUUUCAAACAUAGCGAAGGAACCUGUAGCGAUGUUAUCAGGCUUGGUGGACUCGAUGCCGUACUUUUUGAAUGCAGGAAAAACGAUAUUGAGACGCUCAGACACUGUGCAGGGGCGCUCGCUAAUUUAUCACUUUAUGGGGGUGCUGAAAACCAGGAAGCAAUGAUCAAAAGGAAGGUACCUAUGUGGUUGUUCCCACUAGCAUUCCACAACGAUGACAAUAUCAAGUAUUACGCGUGCUUGGCUAUCGCAGUCUUGGUUGCAAACAAAGAAAUCGAAGCUGCGGUUCUUAAGUCUGGUACACUCGAUCUCGUAGAACCCUUUGUUACAUCUCAUAAUCCCUCUGAAUUUGCAAAAUCGAAUCUCGCCCACGCUCAUGGCCAGAGCAAGAAUUGGCUCGAGCGUUUGGUACCAGUGCUUAGUUCGAAGAGAGAGGAAGCCAGGAAUCUGGCUGCUUUUCAUUUCUGCAUGGAAGCUGGUAUAAAAAAACAGCAGGGCAACACCGAGAUUUUCCGAGAAAUUGGUGCCAUUGAACCAUUGAAAAAAGUCGCUAGCUGUCCGAAUGCCAUUGCCUCAAAAUACGCCGUUCAGGCUCUCAGACUCAUCGGCGAAGAGAUUCCACACAAACUCAGUCAACAAGUGCCUCUUUGGUCUACAGAAGAUGUACGCGAAUGGGUCAAGCAGAUUGGAUUUGCGGAAUAUGCAUCAAAUUUUGUAGAAAGCAGAGUAGACGGUGAUCUCCUUUUGCAAUUGACAGAGUCGAAUCUGACAGAGGACAUUGGACUGACGAAUGGAAUCAGGCGAAGGAGGUUCACAAGAGAGUUACAAAACCUCAAAAAAAUGGCAGACUAUAGCAGCAGGGAUCCUACCAAUUUGAAUAGCUUCCUGGAAGAGAUUGGCCAAGAAUUUUCCAUUUACACCUACGGCAUGUUAAAUGCUGGCGUUGACAAAGACUCGAUUAGGAAUUUAUCUGAAGACCAGCUAGUCACAGAAUGCAGUAUAACGAACAGCAUUCACAGGUUAAGGAUACUCGAUGCCAUUAAAAAUAUUCAGCAUAGUCCAGGCUUCAAUUCCUCUGAAGAUGAAUCCCUUAACAAAAAGCUAGACGUUUUCGUUAGCUACAGAAGAUCAAAUGGUUCACAACUAGCCAGCUUACUAAAAGUCCACCUACAGUUACGCAGCUUCUCCGUAUUCAUAGACGUUGAGAGAUUGGAGGCUGGUAAAUUCGAUAACAAUCUUCUACAAAGCAUCAGACAAGCCAAACACUUUCUACUCGUUCUCACACCUAAAGCCUUGGACCGAUGUAUACAAGACACGGAAUGCAAAGACUGGGUGCACAGGGAAAUUGUUGCAGCCUUACAAUCACAAUGCAAUAUCAUUCCCAUAAUAGACAAUUUCCAAUGGCCAGAGCCAGAGGAACUUCCAGAAGACAUGAGAGCUGUUUGUCACUUCAACGGUGUUCGUUGGAUACACGAUUACCAGGAUGCAUGCGUAGACAAACUUGAGAGGUUUAUGCGUGGUGAAAUUCCUACGAGGUCUGAGUUAUCCGGUGGCAUACCCAGAAGUAUUGCCUCGAAGGAUGUGACACAGCCGAGUACGCCAGGAAGCACGAACAUGCGACAACCCAGUUACCAACGCAUGCACAGUAACGAAAGUAGGGGGAGUGAUAAAGAUUCAACGAAUGGUAGAGAUUGACUAGAUGGCCCUCCCACAGCUAUACCCAACAGCCAGGAAUAGAAAUCGCAGUAAUGCUAACACGAUUAGGCUAAGGAAAUCUUCUAGUCCAUCUCGCUGGUUGAUGGGUCUACCGCCAACAUCUCCGCGUCUAAAAUUUAUCCACACACGUCCAGGAGGCAAUUCCGUUCCUCG